rnacentral:rRNA from 1 species
AAUAGAUACCCUGGUAGUCCACGCCGUAAACGAUGAGUGCUAAGUGUUAGAGGGUUUCCGCCCUUUAGUGCUGCAGCUAACGCAUUAAGCACUCCGCCUGGGGAGUACGGCCGCAAGGCUGAAACUCAAAGGAAUUGACGGGGGCCCGCACAAGCGGUGGAGCAUGUGGUUUAAUUCGAAGCAACGCGAAGAACCUUACCAGGUCUUGACAUCCUCUGCCAACCCUAGAGAUAGGGCGUUCCCCUUCGGGGGACAGAGUGACAGGUGGUGCAUGGUUGUCGUCAGCUCGUGUCGUGAGAUGUUGGGUUAAGUCCCGCAACGAGCGCAACCCUUGAUCUUAGUUGCCAGCAUUCAGUUGGGCACUCUAAGGUGACUGCCGGUGACAAACCGGAGGAAGGUGGGGAUGACGUCAAAUCAUCAUGCCCCUUAUGACCUGGGCUACACACGUGCUACAAUGGAUGGUACAAAGAGUUGCGAACCCGCGAGGGUAAGCCAAUCUCAUAAAGCCAUUCUCAGUUCGGA